UACGGGGGGAGCAAGCGUUGUUCGGAUUUACUGGGCGUAAAGGGCGCGUAGGCGGCCACCGCAAGUCAAUUGUGAAAUCUCCGGGCUUAACUCGGAAAGGUCAACUGAUACUGCGGGGCUAGAGUGCGGAAGGGGCAACUGGAAUUCCCGGUGUAGCGGUGAAAUGCGCAGAUAUCGGGAGGAACACCGGUGGCGAAGGCGGUUCUCUGGGCCUUACCUGACGCUGAGGAGCGAAAGCGUGGGGAGCGAACAGG
rnacentral:rRNA from 1 species